rnacentral:piRNA from 1 species
UAAGACUGAACUUGAGUCGUUUCUCAUGU